rfam:Trichuris suis scaffold107.13, whole genome shotgun sequence.
ACAGCUACGGUGAUAUGACACCUAAGACCUAUUUGGGCAUGAUCGUGGGCAGUCUUUGUGCCCUCACUGGUGUGCUGACCAUUGCACUACCGGUGCCUGUUAUAGUCAGCAAC